UCAGACUCCUGCCCUAAGAGCCAUAGGGAAUAUCGUCACUGGUACAGAUGAACAGACUCAGGUUGUGAUUGAUGCAGGAGCACUCGCCGUCUUUCCCAGCCUGCUCACCAACCCCAAAACUAACAUUCAGAAGGAAGCUACGUGGACAAUGUCAAACAUCACAGCCAGCCGCCAGGACCAGAUACAGCAAGUUGUGAAUCAUGGAUUAGUCCCAUUCCUUGUCAGCGAUCUCUCUAAGAUUUUGAGACACAAAAGGAAGCUGUAUGGGCCGUGGAACAGUUGAACAGAUUGUGUACCUUGUUCACUGUGGCAUAAUAGAACCGUUGAUGAACCUCUUACCUGCAAAAGAUACCAAGAUUAUUCUGGUUAUCCUGGAUGCCAUUUCAAAUAUCUUUCAGGCUGCUGAGAAACUAGGUGAAACUGAGAAACUUAGUAUAAUGAUUGAAGAAUGUGGAGGCGUAGACAAAAUUGAAGCUCUACAAAACCAUGAAAAUGAGUCUGUAUAUAAGGCUUCAUUAAGCUUAACUGAGAAGUAUUUC
rnacentral:lncRNA from 1 species